rnacentral:rRNA from 1 species
UCACACCUACGGGGGGCAGCAGUAGGGAAUUUUCGUCAAUGGGCGCAAGCCUGAACGAGCAAUGCCGCGUGAACGAGGAAGGUCUUCGGAUCGUAAAGUUCUGUUGAAGGGGAAAAAGAGCGGAGAGAGGAAAUGAACUCCGAUUGAUAUUACCCUUCGAGGAAGUCAAGGCUAACUACGUGCCAGCAGCCGCGGUAAUACGUAGGUGGCGAGCGUUAUCCGGAAUGAUUGGGCGUAAAGGGUGCGUAGGCGUCCU